UGGAGAUCCCUCCAUGGUGAAGCUUUCCCCUGUGAACCUUGAAUCUUCUGAUACAACUAUCUUUAUUCAAAGGGAGGGAGCUCCUUGAAUGGAUGUGGGGGAUAACUGAUCCUGCAUAGCUGAUUAGCGCACACACUUGCUUACCCUACUCAGGAAUAAAGUGCAGUUGAUCAGCUGAGGCCAGUGCUGGAGAUCUGUGCUUUCCAGCAUGACAUCAAGCAAACCUGAGUGUGCGAGCUGCUUGCCAGCAGAGUGCUCUCCCAAGGGAAGGAAAGGUGGAAGCUGAAACACUGCAAACGGGGCUGCAGGGAACAGCCUGCACUGGCCAGGAGACAGACAGCAUGAGCUAAUAGAUAUCUAUUGGUGAAAGGAAAUUGAAGAAAAAUCACACCUGAAACAGAGAAACCCAGAGCGAGAGACGCAGCUCUGCUGUACACAGGAAAGCUCAGAGCAUCACCAGCCCAAGAAAUGCCCUGGCUGUGUUCAUACCCAGCACAAGGCUACGUGAAGGGGAGAUGCCCUCAGCUUUCAGGAUGGGAGAUGCUGCAGAUCCUCAGGAUGUUUUGGGGUGCUGCAGUGGGACAGGAGCUGCAGAGCCAGCAUGAGGUUCUGCGGGGUGGUGCAGCGAGGUGGGGGGAAGCUGUCUGUGCACGAGGACUGCAAUAUUGAGACAGAGGCUUGGCUGUUGCACUUCUUAUGCAGUCAUGCUGCAGCUUAGCAAAAGGAACUUCUAUUAUUUUUAUGAUCAAUUUAGUUCUGCCUGUUGAGAAGGAGAGUGAUGCCCUGCACUGCUGCUUGCGGCGGGCAGCACUGCCCUCUAGUGCGGCUGUAUCUGUUGGCUGAAUGCUGGGGUUGGUGUUUUUUUUAUGUUUCUGGUUUCUUUCCUUGUUUUUGGUUUU